rnacentral:lncRNA from 1 species
UACAAUAUGAUCUUGCCAAAAAUUCUUGUUUUUACAUGUAUAUAAAUACUCAUGUACAGAUAAUAUUACAUCUUACUAUUGUAUAAAUCCUAUUGUACCACGUCUGGAGCUCAAUUGUUUUAGGGGUACCCAAAUCAAUAAAGAGUUAUACACUCAUCGUGCAUGUAGAGGACAUCAAGUAUUAUCCAUUCAUCAACCCGAGCAGACGCACGAGCCCUGAAUUCAGGAAUCUAGUGAACAAAACCAAUGUAUAAGUAGAGGUCAUGGAAAAAGUGCAUCGUAUAUACAAUAGAAGACUCAGUAAGUAAUCUGGUUUAUCAAUAGAAUAAUUUAAAAUUACUACCACAUCACAUUUGAAAAGAUUAGGAGAACAUGAUAAGAAAGCACGACACAAUAUACCAUAUAUAUGUUGAAAGGCAAGACCAUCAAGUAUCCUUGAGACCUCAAUGCCCUGUCCUACACGACCAUCAAUCGAGCAUGGAAUAUACUGUAACAUGAUAAGAAAGCACGACACAAUACCACAUAUAUGUUGAAAAGCAAUACCAUCAAGUAUCCUUGAGACCUCAAUGCCCUGUCCAACACAACCAUCAAUAAAGCAUGGAAUUCAUAAAUAUUUGAGAUAGUAAUUAAUCUUGUCUAAAUCACAUCUGAAAAUUGCACUGACCAUAUCACCACACAAUUAUUUUGAUCCUUGCAUAGCUGAAAAUGUAUGAUUCCCUUCUCAAUCUAAGUAAACAAUCUAUCAGUCUACUUAUAUCAUGAAUCCUAGUUAUAACGACUUAAAUUUGAUCUGUAUUUGCAAACUGGGAGCAAACCAGCUUCACACAUCUAAACUAAUCCGACAACUGUUUGUAAAAACAAAUAAGAAAGCAAUCAAAUUUGACACAUAAAAGAACACAAACUUUUGAAGAUUACUACUUAUUUACUCUUUGAUAUGACUUGAUCUCCAUUUUUGUUUCGAUAAAAAUGACUUGAUCUCCAUGAUCCCAAGAUUAUACGCAAGAACAUUGGUGAUUGAAUGAUCCUUAUCUCCGAGAGCACACCAGAUCCAUGCCCAAACAGACUUGCGGGGGAGAGAGAAGGCAUGGAGUUGAUGGAAAGAUUAUAUGUGAAAACAUUGGGGAUUGAAUUCUGGGAGACCACAACCCUACCAAAAGGACAUGAUAUAUAAAAUCAAUGAUCCUUAUCUCUGAGAGCACACUACAUCCAUGCCCAAACUUACUUACGGGGGAGACAAAUUCCAUCCAUAUGGCAAGAUUGCCUUCUAUUUUUUUAACCAGGAGAUAAGAGACGGUGAAAUAGCAGAUAGAUUGUGAUGGAAAUAGUAUCUCCUUGGACAGGCUUUACAUGAAAGCAAACCUGAUCGAGAAACGGCACUGUAGGAUCCAUACGAUUGCACCACCAUCUAUUAGAUAACAGCAGCAGGCCAGCAGCGCAUGCACGAUCCAUGUGUUGGCAUCACCAUCUCACUAACAAUGUUGGCGUCAUGGCGUGCACGAUCCAUGCGACAGCAUCACCAUCUCAUUGACAACGACGGAGACUCGGCAUGCAUGAUCCAUGCGACGGCAUCAUCAUCUCAUCGGCAAUGGCGGCGGCGAU